UACCUCAGUUAUGGCUCCCAGCCCUGGGUAGGGGAAACCACUUCUGCAAGGAGACUGGGAUUCCUGUAAGGGGCUACUGGAGUACUAGAGGGUCCUGACUGCACCUGCUCAUAGCUCAUCCGUCAAGAUCCCCGAGGUCCCCACCAUAUGAUGCAGGCAUGUUCCUGAUAUCCCCUGUCUCUUUGAGAGGAGUUUUCCAAAGGAAGAUGGCUGAAAUGCUGCUGGAGCUGCCACAGCUCAAGUAAUGAGUGGGGAGUUUCAGAGAAACAGUCACUCUUCCUUGCCAAGAUUAGUAGAUGGGGUAUUUCAGUGAACAGUACAGGAGGAAGUAACUCCUGAAAUUCAUUUGUGGAAGUCAGAUUGUUAACAGUGCAGUGUUGGCUGGUCAUGUCUCAUUAUUCAAACCUCUGGGCCGAUGACUGCCUUUGGUACUGGAAAAUGCUGUAUGAGGCUUCUCAGCUGUUUCAGAUUUCUGUGCCAGUUGCUUGGCAAGAAAAUCUUUCAAAUCUUUUAAUGCUGACAAGAAGUUCUCUUUACAAUUGGAUUUUUUGCACUAUAAGAUGCUUAUAGUGUUCAUCUUUUCUUCAUCUACAUCAUGAAAAAAAAAAAAGUCUUGAAACUGAUGAGAGAGAAAAAGAGAAAAGCAGAAGAAAAAGAUGGGAGAAACGUAUUUACCUAAGAAAUAGUAGUUUGUUCUGUGGUCAGGAAGUUGGUGCUUUUUAGCUAAAUUAAACUGAAGUUGAUGGCACAAACCAAGCAGAAAGGGAAACCGAAUCUUAGCUGUCUCCCAUUGACUGAUGUUCAUGAGCCAGUUGCUGAUCUGGGAAAUGUGUUCUCUUCUCAGCUUUUGAGCUGUCAUUCCACUCUGGGUCAAUUUGGCUCAUACAGUGCUGCACAGAGUGAUUCUGACACAUCUCCAUUUUUGAAGAAAAACUUUUUUAUUUUAUUUUAUUUAUUAUUUUUUUUUCAACUGUUCACAUAUUUUUCUAUCCAACAACUUUCAUGAAAACUAUUAAUACUACUACGCCAGUCAGCCACAGUAGAAGUGUCUAUCCAUGGUGGAAGAAAGUCAUUGAGAUGUCAACAGGGAUUUAACAAAAUGGAGAAAAUGAUGCAAUUGUGGCUGAAAUCCAGUCUAUAAAAAACUAAUUACAUAUGAAACCAUUACAUAAGGCAGAUUUUUCUGUCCAUUUCCUUUGUGUAUCAAGUCAGUUUGACUUGACUGUAAUAUUACAAGAAGGCUUUUAUCAUACAUGGCAGAGCUCAUUGUAGGGCUGAGAUUAGAAAGUGGUGUUGUAACAGUUCAGUGAAAGUAAUGUGUUAUUGCUCACUAGAGAAUACUGUCAUAAGAAAAAUGUAAAUUCCAGAGGUCACAGUUCCAGCAGGGUCAAAGAAAACCAGUCUUAGCCUGAUCCCUAUUGCCUUUAGCUUAAUAAAAAUUAUGGAGAAUCCUGGAAUAGUUUACCUGCCAAGAGAAGGACUAAAACACAUCUAAAAUACUUGUAGACCACCCCUCUUUUGCCUUUUCUACAAGCAUUCACAUCUGUGCUCUCUGUUUGAGAGGAACAGAUGUGCAGAAUAAUUAAUACAAGCCCAAAACAGUAGGAAACACCCCUUGAUCUUGAUUGGAAACACCAAGUGGAGCAGCAUGAGAAUAUGCAAAAGUGGCUUGCAGAGCAAAAAAAGAACCUCCUUUCAGCUGCCUUCUCCAGCAAAUACUUCCCUCCUCUGAAUUUCUUUCAAGACUGAACUUUUAUCUAAGAAAAGUCUCUUGACCACGUCUGAUCCAGUAAAGCAAAAGAAAGAAAAAAUGAGGUUAAAAAAAAAAGAAAAAUGAAUUCAUGCAACAGCAACUUUCAUUAAGACAUUCCAUCUACAACAAGAACACAAUAUAAACAUGCAAUUAAGCAUUAAUGUUGUGACAAUAUGAUGAUAAAGUAAUGACAUCAAGCCAGAUAAUUCAUUUCAUAGAUCACGGUUUCUGCUCUAAUUAAUUUAUUCCAAAAGCCUAAUAUGAGGAUGAUUUUAUGCAGUCAAACUAUCUAAACACCCACAAAGAGAGGAAAGUUAUGUCGAUAUUUAUGUUCACUUUGGUGGUUUUGUAUUUGCUUAUUCAAUUGUUGCACAAGAGUCUUGCACAGACAGAAUAUUUGUCUAAUAGUGGGUACUAAUACUAGUUUAAAGAUAUGAAAUCUUAAAAGUAUAAGCACAUGGU